rnacentral:rRNA from 2 species
GGUAGCAUAAUCAUUAGUCUUUUAAUUGAAGGCUGGAAUGAAUGGUUGGACAAAAAAUAAGCUGUCUCAGUUAUAAUGAUUGAAUUUAACUUUUAAGUGAAAAGGCUUAAAUAAUCUAAGGGGACGAUAAGACCCUAUAAAGCUUUACGAUUUGUUUAUUAAAUAAAAAAUUGUAAGUUUAAAUUUUGUUUAAUAAACAUUUGUUUCGUUGGGGCGACGAGAAUAAAAUUUAGUAACUGUUCUUUUUAAAUAUAACAAUUAUAAUUGGAAGAAAAUUGAUCCCUUACUAAGGAUUAAAAAUUUAAGUUACUUUAGGGAUAACAGCGUAAUCUUUUUUGAGAGUCCAUAUCGACAAAAAGGGUUGCGACCUCGAUGUUGAAUUAAGAGAUCUUUAUAGUGCAGCAGUUAUAAAGGAGGGUCUGUUCGACC